rnacentral:lncRNA from 1 species
CCCAUGUUGCCAUGGCGAUGUGCUGGCGCAGCCUCUUUGCUAUUCCGCGCACGGAGCGUCUGGGCUGCAAAACCCCUCGGAGGACACGCUGGGGUCGGGGGGGGCAGCAUGGAGGGGGUGCCCUGCCUCACCCCCAUGCCUGCAGGGGGGGCUCCCUUGCAGUGUCCCUCUGCGGUGCUGGUGAUGGGGCAUGCCCCAUGGGGGUGGCCUGGUGCCCUGCCACCCCCUCACCGGGUGCCCCGGCUGGUCCCUGACACCCCUGUUGCUGGCAGGGCUCCCUUCUUGUGGGGGAGGGUUUGCAGUUAUAUAAACUCCCCAGGAACCAUUUCCUGCUGCCUCAUUAGUGAAGAUGGGUGUGUUAACGAGGCAAGGCAGUGUUUUAGGGUGCUCUGGAGCUGCUCCCCCUCCUUUGCAAGCUCCCUGCUGCCUGGGGGGCAGCAGCCCCUCGGCCAUUGCGGGGUGCAGCGUGGUGACUCCCCCCCCUUCUCCCAGGCUCUCCCUACUAUGACAACGUGCGUCCCCUCUGCUACAGCGAUUCGGAUGCCGUGCUGCUCUGCUUCGACAUCAGCCGCCCUGAGACCCUGGACAGCGCAUCCAAGAAGUGGAAGACGGAGAUCCUGGACUACUGCCCCAACACCCGGGUGCUGCUCAUCGGCUGCAAGACAGACCUGCGGACGGACCUGAGCACCCUCAUGGAGCUCUCCCAUCAGAAGCAGGCGCCCAUCUCCUACGAGCAGGGCUGCGCUGCGGCCAAGCAGCUGGGAGCAGAGAGCUACCUGGAGUGCUCGGCCUUCACGUCGGAGAAGAGCGUGCACAGCAUCUUCCGGACUGUGUCCGGCAUCUGCCUCAGCAGACCCAGCCCGCAGCUGCCCAAGAGCCCCGCGCGCAGCCUCUCCAAGCGGCUCCUGCACCCGCCCA